UGGGGAAUAUUGGACAAUGGGGGCAACCCUGAUCCAGCCAUGCCGCGUGAGUGAUGAAGGCCUUCGGGUUGUAAAGCUCUUUUGGUGGGGACGAUGAUGACGGUACCCACAGAAUAAGCUCCGGCUAACUUCGUGCCAGCAGCCGCGGUAAUACGAAGGGAGCUAGCGUUGUUCGGAAUUACUGGGCGUAAAGGGCGCGUAGGCGGUCAGGCAAGUCAGAUGUGAAAGCCCUGGGCUUAACCCGGGAAUUGCGUUUGAUACUACCUGGCUUGAAUUCGGGAGAGGUUGGUGGAAUUCCCGAGUGUAGAGGUGAAAUUCGUAGAGAUUGGGAAGAACACCCGUGGCGAAGGCGGCCAACUGGACCGACAUUGACGCUGAGGCGCGAAAGCGUGGGGAGCAA
rnacentral:rRNA from 1 species